CUGAGGCCUCCCCAGCUGUGUGGAACUAAUAUGGCAGAUAUAACAGCACGUAAUUUCCAAGGCAAGGUCAUAAAAGACAUUGUAGCUUCUGCCUUGUCCCUUCCUCUUGGAUCUCUUGCUAUGGAGUAGCAGCCCCAUGAAGACACCCGUGGUGGAAGAUCACUGAGGACUCCUGCCAACAGCCACCCAGUGACUGAGGCCUCUUGCAGAAAUCCAUAUGAGUGGGCCAGCUGACAAGAAAAUCUUCCAGCUCUAGUCAAGCCUUCAGAACACCAGCUCUUAGUGCCAGGAACUGCCAGGUAAGAAUUCUGACUACACUGAGGCCACCAUGCUCUGAGGAAGUCAAGCCAGAUGGAAAGAUCACAGCAGGAGAACUGGUCAGCAGUCAUACUCUUGAACUCAUCCCAACCCAGACUCCAGACAUGUGAAUUGACAAGUCUUCAGAUGAUUCCAGCACAAAGCCAUUGAGUCACCUCCAGCCAUUGAGUGUCCCCAGCCGAGACACCAGUCACCAUCAAGCAGAGCCAGUAUGCCUGUUAUGCCUGUCCAAAUUCUUGACCCACUAAAUUCUAUGAAAUUAAUAAAUGGUUGUUUAAGUUACUAAAUUUUAAACUUAAUUUGUUAUGCAGUAAUAGGAAUUGUUCCUGUCUGUGAGCAAGUCCUCAUGGACAAUAAACUCAGAUCUGUCUGUGGAAUCUGGGAGAAAAAGAGACUGUUAUCCUUCCCCAUGGUACAGCCCCAGAAAGAUAAAAGUCUCAGAAUAAAACACUGUACAUGCAUAGCUCAUUUUAUUGGGCUUUGUUUAUUGCAUCUCACAAACGUUACGCUUUUUACAGACUGAAGGUUUGUGGCAACCCUGUGUCUAUUGAGCAAGUCUACCAGCACUAUUUUUCCAACAGUAUGUGCUCGCUUUGUGUCUCUGUCUCACAUUUUGGUAAUUCUCACAAUAUUUUA
rnacentral:lncRNA from 1 species